rnacentral:rRNA from 1 species
GCUAUACAUGCAAGUCGAGCGGACAGAUGGGAGCUUGCUCCCUGAUGUUAGCGGCGGACGGGUGAGUAACACGUGGGUAACCUGCCUGUAAGACUGGGAUAACUCCGGGAAACCGGGGCUAAUACCGGAUGGUUGUUUGAACCGCAUGGUUCAGACAUAAAAGGUGGCUUCGGCUACCACUUACAGAUGGACCCGCGGCGCAUUAGCUAGUUGGUGAGGUAACGGCUCACCAAGGCGACGAUGCGUAGCCGACCUGAGAGGGUGAUCGGCCACACUGGGACUGAGACACGGCCCAGACUCCUACGGGAGGCAGCAGUAGGGAAUCUUCCGCAAUGGACGAAAGUCUGACGGAGCAACGCCGCGUGAGUGAUGAAGGUUUUCGGAUCGUAAAGCUCUGUUGUUAGGG